rnacentral:rRNA from 1 species
UACAGAGGUCUCAAGCGUUAUUCGGAUUCACUGGGCGUAAAGGGUGCGCAGGCGGCCGAGUGUGUGAGGCGUGAAAGCCCGGGGCUUAACCCCGGAAUUGCACCUCAAACUACACGGCUAGAGCAUUGGAGAGGGUAGCAGAAUUCAUGGUGUAGCAGUGAAAUGCGUAGAUAUCAUGAGGAAUACCAGAGGCGAAGGCGGCUACCUGGACAAUUGCUGACGCUCAGGCACGAAAGCGUGGGGAGCAAAAGGG